rnacentral:snoRNA from 1 species
CUAACAAGGGGAUAAAAAAAUUCAAAUGUGAAACAACUAAUAUUCAAAUGUACGACGACCUUAAACAGCUCGGUGAAACU